AGAGUUUGAUCCUGGCUCAGGACGAACGCUGGCGGCGUGCUUAACACAUGCAAGUCGAAGGGCAUCGCGGGGAGUGCUUGCACUCCCUGGCGGCGACUGGCGCACGGGUGAGUAACACGUAUGCAACCUGCCCUCCACAGGGGGACAACCUUCCGAAAGGGAGGCUAAUCCCGCGUAAAUCUCGAUGGGGCAUCCCAUUGAGAGGAAAGCUUCGGCGGUGGAGGAUGGGCAUGCGGCGCUUUAGCUAGUCGGCGGGGUAACGGCCCACCGAGGCGACGACGCGUAGGGGUUCUGAGAGGAAGGUCCCCCACACUGGUACUGAGACACGGAUCAGACUCCUACGGGAGGCAGCAGUGAGGAAUAUUGGUCAAUGGGCGGGAGCCUGAACCAGCCAAGCCGCGUGAGGGAAUAAGGCCCUAUGGGUCGUAAACCUCUUUUGUCGGGGAACAAAAGCGGGGACGCGUCCCCGUCUGCGUGUACCCGAAGAAAAAGCAUCGGCUAACUCCGUGCCAGCAGCCGCGGUAAUACGGAGGAUGCGAGCGUUAUCCGGAUUUAUUGGGUUUAAAGGGUGCGUAGGCGGUAUGGUAAGUCUGCGGUAAAAGCCCGGGGCUCAACCCCGGCGAGCCGUUGAAACUGCCGUGCUAGAGAGGAAGAGAAGUAGGCGGAAUGCGCAGUGUAGCGGUGAAAUGCUUAGAUAUUGCGCAGAACUCCGAUUGCGAAGGCAGCCUACCGGCUUCUGUCUGACGCUGGGGCACGAAAGCGUGGGUAUCGAACAGGAUUAGAUACCCUGGUAGUCCACGCAGUAAACGAUGAG
rnacentral:rRNA from 1 species